GAGGAUUGUCCUCUUCAUCCCUCCCUGACAAGGUGAGUGCCCUUCUCAGAUCCCAGCAGGGCUGUGACUAAACCCAGCAUCCCCCCUGCCUGCACCCCAAUUCUGCUGCUGCCAGCAGUGCCCUCUUUCAAAUGAAGAAAACAGAUUAUCCAGCGGAGACACUCGGGAAUAAAGCCACGGCUGAGGUGCACCGGUGCUCUCAGAUUUAGCCACGAGUUCCCCAGAGGCCGUGUUAAAGCUUUUUCCAUUCAACGUGCAAGGACAGACUCAAAUUUGGGCAAAGACUCAGCAGUGCUGAGAGAGAAAACCCAACUGUCCCUGGGCUGUGGGCAGCUCUGGAGCUGGGUUUGCUUCGCUGCUUUGCAAUCAGGGUGGUCUGUCAGUUAAACAGAGACAGAAAUGCCACGUGCCAAACUCGCUGUGGACAGGAACUGCGCUGCCUGCUUGAGUUUUGAAACGGCUUUGUGCACUCAGAGCCAGAAAUCCUGCCUAGAGGAAUUCCCAGCUCUGCUGAUGUGAGCACCCUUGGAAGGACAGAGGAAAAUACUAGUUUUUUCCAAGCCAACUCAAAUGGGCUGAAGUCAGGAUGGUUUUGGAAUCAGACUUUAGAUGAGCACAUAAGAAGGAACUUGCCCUCUCCCAGGCAGAAUGGAAAGGCACUCACUGCACCCCACACUUCAGUCUGGGGCCAGUCCCACAGGGCUCCAGGUACCUGUGUCUCACAGUCCAGCAGCCGGAUGGACUUGUCGUUC